rnacentral:tRNA from 1 species
GAACGGGGAGAAGAGCAGCGACAAGAGCAGCGACAAGAACGCUGACAAGAACAGCGACGAGAAGCGGAGUUGAU